UCGACGAUCCACCAUGACAGGACAUAAACGAGAGUUUCCGGUACUUCUGCCUCGAGGGCUAGCUUUACUAACGGUAGUUUCGCGGUACUGCUGUGUCGAGGGCUAACGGUAGUUUCGCGGUACUGCUGUCUCGCGCGCUAACAUUACUAACGGUAGUUUCGCGGUACUGCUGUGUCGAGGGCUAACGUUACUAACGGUAGUUUCGCGGUACUGCUGUGUCGAGGGUUAACGUUAGUUUCGCGGAACUGCGGUCUCGCUGUCUUGCAUUUCACCGGCGUAUGGUUUAAUUGGCUGACUUUUAUCGCAGGCAUAUGCUAAACUGCGACAGGGACUAAAGAGGAAAAAGCGAGUGCCUAAUUGAUACCAAAACGUUUCUGCAAGAUAUCACCAUGCUGCUGAAGGUGAGAUACCAGAGUACCAAGAAGUACAUCCGAUUACAGCUAGGUUUCACCUAUUUGGAAUUCAUCACUGCAGUCAAAAACAAAUUUGGACUCCAUGAUGCAGCUGAACUUCACAUAUUUGAUGAAACUGACACUGCAGUGGAAGAAGACAUUCUUCUUGAACUGAUAAGAGUCCAAUCCAGACCUUUGCCUGAUCGUGCGUGACAGCAUUUCAGAUGAAGAUCAUUCAACACAAUCUUCUCUCACGGAUACCAUGACGCUUUCUUCAAGUGACAAUGACCUCUCCGGUCAAAGACAAAGGGGGAUUUUGAGCUCUGAGGUCAUGGACAGGUCUACAAAAAAGGUUUCGGAUUCAGAGACUGCAAAAGAGGUACUUGAAAGCAGUAGAUGUCAGUUAACAUUUUUACUCACAAUAUCAUCAAGAAAAUUGUUUAACUGAAUGAUGAUUCUCACCAAUUGGACUAUAAUUAAAUUUAGAAUGGUGAGUGCCAGAUUGAGAAAGUUACGAAACUUAGUUUAGUGUAAAUUAAUAAUUAACCCAGGGUUUAGCUGUUGUGUAGCUUUGUAUUAUGUAACUCUUCUUUCCAUACAUAUUUAUUCAAUUAGGUUAAUUUACAUACAUGGAACGGUGCCUUGUCUUUUGUAGUGUAGACUAUAUUGCUUGUUUUGGCUUCAGCAUGCCCCACAUAUCCUGAAAAGAUGUUUCUACGUUACCUGACCAAUUUGUUUGUUUGAUUAAGACUGAAAAUUAUUUGGGAGUUUUUCCUGGUCCGAUGCAAGGUUUUGGGGCAGGGAUGUCUAUGUGUACAGAUUGUAAAGCACUCCGAGACUAAUUUGUGAAAUUGGGCUAUACAAAUAAACUUAAUUGAAUUAUACACUAA